ensembl:lncRNA
AUCAAAGGCUGCAUUUAAAGGAGGACAUGUUGGCAGUGGAGCACGUGGCUCGCCAUACAUCUCUCUGGAUCAUACGCUGCAGAAUAUGUGGAGAAGAUCCCAGACUGAGCUCUGUAUCUUUGGUGACAGGAGAAGAAAGGAAUAAAUUGGCUCUAAAUUGUUUUUACCUCUUAUUUAUUUUCUCUUCCUAGAACUGGCAAUUAUCCUAUCCCUGCACAAAGUGUUUCUGUUUGCCUCAACGCUUGGAUCACUGAAUCCCAAAUGUGCAGUAGGGGCCAUUUCUGACUGAGAGAGGCAAUUUUUUUUUCCAUCAACUGAAAUUGGUUUCUGACUUUGUCUGGAGCAAUGACAUAGAUGGCCGUAGAUGUUUCUCAGCACUGGGGCCUGCUUUCCUCAGCCAAACUCACCUUAACAUCACAGAAAAUUGGCAGAAAACACAGGGUCCCACAGAUGUAUGUCAUAUGGCUAGGACCUAGGUGCCACACAGCGGUGCUCUUGACUCCAUGUUGCUCAAAGGCCUGUGCUGGCUGGAGGGAGUUAAAGCAGCAAGCCUACCAGAACUGGCUUUGGAAGGAGGGCUAAGACUCAGCUCUGCAAAGAAGGUGAACCAUCCAGUGGGAUGAGGCAUUUUCUUGCCCGACUGAUCUACUAAGUCAGAUAUGGAAAGAAUCACAGAAAUGAAGGGACCUCAAGAGAGCAUUGAGUCCAAACUCCUGCUAAAGCAGGUACAAAGAAAUAUAUAAUGACAGCUUACAAAAAUCCCAAGUUUUUAUUUUUGUAGCUAUUGUUCCUUCCCAUUUCCUCUGUUUUCUUCUGUCUGUAGAAGAUUCAUCCCGGUUCAUAUCUCAGCAUCCUCCCGGAAUCAGGGACAGAUACAUUUCUCUGGGUCAGUCAUGAAUAUGAAGAGAAGUAAGGCAGAUGGAGAGGAGAUGCACCUUCUCCAUGUAAGGAGAGGACCACACAAAAUUAAGAACAGCCAUGGUGGACCCAGGUAGGAACCCCAUUCUUGGGGGCAGUCAGCAGUGGCACUGGCCUAAUGUCAGUUGAAAUAUCCCUUUUUCUCUCAAGAAAAGCUCUGUAUCUAGUGUACAUCUUCACCUGUAUCAAGGCUAUGGCUCAGUGAAAUCACCAAGAAUGAUUUAAUUGACUUUUGUGUACUUUUAAUCUAAUCCUCUGAACUGUAGCAUUCUGAUAGCCAAUGUUUAGCCUUAUUCAUUUAGGAGUUCAGUUCACCUCUCACUGAGAAUUUCUGAAAGCCUUACUGAAAAAUGGAUUGGGCAUUUAGCUAUUUAUGAGAAUCUUGCUUUUAAACUGUGAGAAGAUAUCUUUUUAAUUAAUCCUCACAGAAAACAAUUGAAUGCUUGACCUACAAGGAUAAUUACUUGUGUUCUGCUUUGAUUACUUUGUAAAAGUUUUAUUGGAUUUAUAUAGUGUACUGCAUAAUAUGUGAUCUAAAAUUGGAGCUCUUUACUACAGCAUGGAGUGGAGCUUUAUACUGCAGCAUAAACUUUAUAGAAUUGACAACCAUGUUGUCUAUAUAAAAACAUCAUUCUGUAAUUAGUCUUAUUAGUAUAAUUUUUUA